rnacentral:rRNA from 1 species
GACGUAGGGGGCGAGCGUUGUCCGGAUUCAUUGGGCGUAAAGCGCGCGUAGGCGGCUACGCAAGUCGGGUGUGAAAAUCCGGGGCUCAACCCCGGACCUGCACCCGAAACUGCGUGGCUAGAGGUAGGUAGGGGAGAUCGGAAUUCCUGGUGUAGCGGUGGAAUGCGCAGAUAUCAGGAGGAACACCGGUGGCGAAGGCGGAUCUCUGGGCCUUACCUGACGCUGAGGUGCGAAAGCUAGGGGAGCGAACAGG